CCGAAAGGCGGGAGUGCCCGCAAGGGAGCGCGGAGACAGGUGGUGCAUGGCUGUCGUCAGCUCGUGUCGUGAGAUGUUGGGUUAAGUCCCGCAACGAGCGCAACCCUCACCCCUUGUUGCUACCAGGUAAAGCUGGGCACUCUAGGGGAACUGCCCCGGUCAACGGGGAGGAAGGCGGGGAUGACGUCAAGUCAUCAUGCCCCUUACGUCCUGGGCUACACACGUGCUACAAUGGCCGGUACAAAGGGAUGCCACACCGUGAGGUAGAGCUAAACCCAAAAAGCCGGUCUAAGUUCAGAUUGGAGUCUGCAACUCGACUCCAUGAAGGAGGAAUCGCUAGUAAUCGCGUAUCAGCACGACGCGGUGAAUACGUUCCCGGGCCUUGUACACACCGCCCGUCACACCACGAAAGCCAG
rnacentral:rRNA from 1 species